rnacentral:rRNA from 1 species
AUACGGAGGAUGCGAGCGUUAUCCGGAUAUAUUGGGUUUAAAGGGAGCGUAGGUGGGAUAUUAAGUCAGCUGUGAAAGUUUGGGGCUCAACCUUAACAUUGCAGUUGAUACUGGUUUCCUUGAGUACGGUACAGGUGGGCGGUAUUCGUGGUGUAGCGGUGAAAUGCUUCGAUAUCACGAAGAACUCCGAUCGCGAAGGCAGCUCACCGGGCCGGAACUGACACUGAUGCUCGAAAGUGCGGGUAUCAAACAGGAUUAGAUACCCUGGUAGUCCGCACAGUAAACGAUGAAUACUCGCUGUUUGCGAUACACUGUAAGCGGCCAAGCGAAAGCGUUAAGUAUUCCACCUGGGGAGUACGCCGGCAACGGUGA